UGUGGCCUUUACCUCUGGUUGUAGAACUGUACUGCUCUUUGUAUUAUCCUACUGUCUAUGAGAUCAAAAUAGAUCAAAGUCGUUUGUGGCUGUAGCAAAAAUGCUGUCAUGACCUGAAACAGUGAUAGAGCACCUGGUAGGAAGGCAGGACCAACCCACGGGAGCUCAGGUGUAUGCUCCACCAGAAGGGGUGGAGCCAGGAUCCACCCCUUCCCAAACUCAUUUAAGUGUUGGCAGGGGAAGAAAGGGCAUCUCUUGUUGGAAGUCUCUAUCUUUUUGUGGCCUUUCAAGGGAGCAGUUUCAAAAUUACUUUGUUUCAGUGUUGUUGGCCAGUUCAGCAGCGAGAUCUGCCUGGGGGAAGCUGCCCACAUCCAUUUUUUCAGAUAGGCCCUUUAUGUCAUGUCUGUUGGCAGACUGGGAAUCACUUAAGUGCUGUGGGCAUGCACAAGGUAUGGCUCUGGUAAAGCAGGUACAUCAGGGUACACAGAUACCAAGUAUUUGUAACUCAGACACCACAGCUCCUGCUGAAGCUGAGGAGCUCUGGCUGCUGUGAAGAUGCAGAGCUCUUUAGAACAGAAAGUGAGAAGGCAGUUGGGAAUGUUUUGGGAUAAGGUGUCAGCUGCCAACUGGGUUCAGCACAAAUUGCAAGCCUCCUGAUGAAUGCUUUGUAUCUGGGAUGGGUUUCCUUUCCCCAUUGUAAAAGCACUAGCAAUGAGACCUGGGGUCAGCAGCACCAUGCCAAUGGGGGCCCAGAGCUCUGCAUCCUGCAGUUUCCAUCAGCAAUGCAGAGAGGUUGGGUUGGAGGUGUGCGGGCACUGUUAUUUUGCAUUCUGAGACGAGACAUGGAGCCCAACAGGCAGACAGCCAUGCUUCUGUCAGUAAGCAAGGGGAGAGGAUUAUAAUAGUUAUGUCUUUCAAAUAUACCAUUCAUGCGCAGUUUAGAGGGGUAUCAUUUGGCCUUACAAAUUAAGUGAAUUAAGGCAUCAGGUAGUAGUUAAUACCUUCUAAUAAUCCACAAUAGAACUCACAGUAACAUGUUUUCUCAUGACAGAAUUAACUGAAUUGCUUGUUAAAAGGUUAGUGAAAGCGUGCAACCUUUGUAAGCCACUGAAACUGGUGUCAGUCACUCAUUCCUUUGUACAGGUGGCCAGACAGCACAGCUGCUUGCCAUUUCCCUGUGAGACCACUGCCUCCUGCAGGUCACACAGUGAAUGAUCAAGGCUGUACCUACAGAUGCUACCUGUUGAUGAAAGGUGUUCUGUGAAUAAGGCAGAAUGUUUGAGUGCAAGUACAGAGCUGUCAUCUGGCGCUAGAAGGUUUCUGCUCUAAGUGAAGUGCUUCUGUCUUGGGCACAGUGUCCUUAGAUAGUGCUGGUUCAGUUACUUCAGUCAGCACUGCCACAGCAGUUAACUAACAAGAUGGUGUGUAUUUUUAGAGUGACAGGUAUGACUAAUUAAAAAAAAAAAAAGAAAAAAAAAAAAUCAGAAAUCCCAAGAAGCUUGAUGGCAGUUAAAAUUGAUUAGAACUGUAUUU